GGUUUGAUGAGAGAUUUCCGUGGCGCCACCCAAAGUCCCCUCUUUCCUCUCCCCAAUCUCUGUAGCCGCCACACCGGUCCUCCUCCAUCCUCUCUCCCUCCCUCCCUCGUCAGCCACGAGACCCACCGCCUCCUUCCUCUCCGCCGUGACGUUUCGUUCUCUUGUCCUCCGGAGCUCCUCUCAUGUCGUCAUGCUCGCGCAAAGCACCGCGUCCACCCAACCAUCUUUGCUGCGCAAGGCGGCCGGAGGACGAACAACGGCGGUCCGAGCUCCGCUGCCUCCAUCCAUGUCUCAUCCUCCUCUUGCGCGCCGGCCGACCGGAGGCUGCCUCCUGGUGGGUGGUAGGUGCGAGCGAUGACGCUGGAGGCCAGAUCUGGAAGCUUAGCUAAUGCAGCACCGUGACAACUUCGAUGCGAGCACUAGGUGUUUGUUUAAAUGCUCAAGGAGGACUGUUCAGGGGAGGACGACAGCUUUCAGGUAACAUGUCAAGCGAGGGUGUAAUAGAGAAUAUGAAGCAGGAGCUGGUCAUGCUGCUGCUCAAGGAGGAAGAGGAGGUGAAGGCGACACAGAGGAGCUUGCCAUAGCUGCUCGCCAGCUCCGGGAAUUCCUCCUUCCAGAAGCACAACGCCAUGUCCUAGAUAUGGCUUGGUGGACCGAGGCCCUGCUGUGGAAAAAGAUCCUGAUAUGUUCGACCAUGCCGCCUUUAUGACCUAUUAAUGUGUUUUGAGCAUGUGACAAUUGUUUUCUCAAAUUUACGUGGUCUAUCUUAGAUUAGUAGUAAUCCUUCUCUAUGUUUCUGUAAUUUCAGUUCCUUAUGUUUGCCUUUAGAAAUUUCCUUUGCAUAUCCUGUUUUCUGCACAUCCCUCUUGUGGCCUGUUGUAAUGGUCUAAUGAACAGCCAUAUCAUGAUAUGAUUGCAUCGUUGCAUGAUAGUGUACCAUAUGCUCAUGCAUUUGUUUUCUUACCGAUGUUGUCCUAAUGAGUUGGCUGGCUUACAUGUAGUCUGCUGUAAAGGUCUACUUGUUUCAGGUAGCAUUGCUUUCUGGAAUACAUUAUUGGAACUUGGUAACCUUCCCUGGUUAUAGUCAGCAAGACAAGAAGAACAUACUUGUGUAUGAGUUCAUGCACAACGAAAGGAGCACCUUAGCUGAUGUUAAAUUUUCUCUUUGGAAUCAACAACACACUGUUGUAUAUACACGUGUGAUUCUUUCGCAGUAAAACUUUGCCUGUGCAGUUGUAUUUUGCUGAUUCAGGUUGUCUUAGCCUGCAACACUACGUCUAGGUUACGAAUGAAAACUUGGAAUUACCUAAUAGGUGCAUACAUGAACUAUUGAUGGUGUGAAUAGAAACAACGGCAUUGGCGCAGACGCUUGGUGACCUUCACGUUGUUCCUCCAAGGCAGGCCAUGAGUGAUGGCAGCCGUGAGGUCAGCGUUGCUAGGAAAUAGGGAAAGGCUGCUGCCAAUUAUGCAAGAUACACACAUAGUUUGUGUUUGCUGUUUACAUGUCAGUUUUUUACCAUUUGAACUGUCUUUUAUAGACAGUAUAGUUCACAAAAAAGAAACUUUUGAUAAAGCAUAUAUGGGUUUGCAGUAGACCAUUCUAGACCAUAUUUCUUGAAUACAUAGUUUAUAGUAUUUUCUGGUUUUAAAUAUAUGAGAUUGCCCAUCUUAGUUAGUGGCACUGCUAUGCUUCACAGUAUACAAUGCUUGCAUGCCAAUAUAAUCAUAAGUGUUUUUUCGUUUUCAGGUGUUCUUAAUAUGGUGGGUGAUUGAAGCGAAAGCAUGAGGAGCAGUUCAAAGGGCGGAUGGAGCAUGUGACUUAUGUGGAAAUAACAAAUUUUCUUUUAGAUGAUUUGAGUGUAUGCUGAUGCGUGAAAGUCAAAUCAUUUGGAUUCCCAACUAGCCUAUUGUGUGUGUUCAAUAUUUUGUUGCGCAUUGACAAAAUGUUUUCAGUGCCCGAGUGCGCAAGUUGAAUUUUGAAACAUAUGAGAGGAUAACCCUGCAAAAGGGAAUUUGCCCUUUAUGAAGGUUCGGGCUUGCUGUUGUAAUUAAAAGUAGGAGAUUUAUAUAUACCUAUAAUAGAAUAAUUCCUCAAGCUAAAGGCUUCUGUAACAUGUAACAUAUGAACUUUGUUUGUGCUAAUAAUUUUCCAGCCAUAGUAAAAGGCUAUGUUGCACAGGUA